UAGUCAACAUGGUGCAAUGGUUUGAAUUUCAGACUACAACUCUGGAUAUCAGGGUUUGAUUCCCUGCUUGACUAG